ACGGUGAGGGAUGAAAGCUGGGGGAGCGAACCGGAUUAGAUACCCGGGUAGUCCCAGCCGUAAACGAUGCGAGCUAGAUGAUUCGAUCGCAGUUCGCGAUCGAAGUGUCGCAGGGAAGCCGUUAAGCUCGCCGCCUGGGGAGUACGGUCGCAAGGCUGAAUCGUAGGAAGGGAGAUUUUCCUACGCAGUUCACUUAAAGGAAUUGGCGGGGGAGCACCACAAGGGGUGAAGCCUGCGGUUCAAUUGGAGUCAACGCCGA
rnacentral:rRNA from 1 species